rnacentral:lncRNA from 10 species
CCAAACCUAAGUCAUCUGAUUUCAGAGCCCAUACAGUUAAAUGCUCUAAAUGCAGCUUCCCGUGAUGAUGGUGACUAUGAGAGCCUGUCACAUAUGAUGUAGGACAGUGCUUCCCUGUAACAUGCACAAGAUUCCUGUGAUGAUGGUGACUAUGAGAGCCUGUCACAUAUGAUGUAGGACAGUGCUUCCCUGUAACAUGCACAAGAUUCCUGUGAUGAUGGUGACUAUGAGAGCCUGUCACAUGAUGUAGGACAGUGCUUCCCUGUAACAUGUGCAAGAUUCCCGUGAUGAUGGUGACUAUGAGAGCCUGUCACAUAUGAUGUAGGACAGUGCUUCCCUGUAACAUGUGCAAGAUUCCCAUGAUGAUGGUGACUAUGAGAGCCUGUCACAUAGGAUGUAGGACAGUGCUUCCCUGUAACAUGCACAAGAUUCACCCAGGGAUCUCUUUAAAAUGCAAAACCAUAGACCACACUUUGACUGGCUUGGAUAAGGGGUCAGAGCAUCGAAAUGAGUGUGUAGGUGACUGUGCUAAAAUUCUCCUGCUCAUGUGGGCACUGGCUCAUGAUAUUAACAAAGCUUAGGACCUCUAGUCCUUUCUGGAAAGAAAAUACACAUACAUAGCAUGUGACUGUGCAUAUGGAAUAUCUGUUGUGUUCUGGACAUUGUGCUGGACAACAGAGAUAAGAAGUCAAAUAUCCCUUGUCUCUAUCUGAAAGGAGCUUCC